GCUGGUGUUGCUCAGUGGUUGAGCAUCAACCUAUGAACCAGGAGAUCAUGGUUCAAUUCCUGGUUAGAGCA